rnacentral:rRNA from 1 species
GAAGAGUUUGAUCAUGGCUCAGAUUGAACGCUGGCGGCAGGCCUAACACAUGCAAGUCGAACGGUAACAGGAAGCAGCUUGCUGCUUUGCUGACGAGUGGCGGACGGGUGAGUAAUGUCUGGGAAACUGCCUGAUGGAGGGGGAUAACUACUGGAAACGGUGGCUAAUACCGCAUAACGUCGCAAGACCAAAGAGGGGGACCUUCGGGCCUCUUGCCAUCAGAUGUGCCCAGAUGGGAUUAGCUUGUUGGUGAGGUAACGGCUCACCAAGGCGACGAUCCCUAGCUGGUCUGAGAGGAUGACCAGCCACACUGGAACUGAGACACGGUCCAGACUCCUACGGGAGGCAGCAGUGGGGAAUAUUGCACAAUGGGCGCAAGCCUGAUGCAGCCAUGCCGCGUGUAUGAAGAAGGCCUUCGGGUUGUAAAGUACUUUCAGCGGGGAGGAAGGUGUUGUGGUUAAUAACCGCAGCAAUUGACGUUACCCGCAGAAGAAGCACCGGCUAACUCCGUGCCAGCAGCCGCGGUAAUACGGAGGGUGCAAGCGUUAAUCGGAAUUACUGGGCGUAAAGCGCACGCAGGCGGUCUGUCAAGUCGGAUGUGAAAUCCCCGGGCUCAACCUGGGAACUGCAUUCGAAACUGGCAGGCUUGAGUCUUGUAGAGGGGGGUAGAAUUCCAGGUGUAGCGGUGAAAUGCGUAGAGAUCUGGAGGAAUACCGGUGGCGAAGGCGGCCCCCUGGACAAAGACUGACGCUCAGGUGCGAAAGCGUGGGGAGCAAACAGGAUUAGAUACCCUGGUAGUCCACGCCGUAAACGAUGUCUACUUGGAGGUUGUGCCCUUGAGGCGUGGCUUCCGGAGCUAACGCGUUAAGUAGACCGCCUGGGGAGUACGGCCGCAAGGUUAAAACUCAAAUGAAUUGACGGGGGCCCGCACAAGCGGUGGAGCAUGUGGUUUAAUUCGAUGCAACGCGAAGAACCUUACCUGGUCUUGACAUCCACAGAACUUUCCAGAGAUGGAUUGGUGCCUUCGGGAACUGUGAGACAGGUGCUGCAUGGCUGUCGUCAGCUCGUGUUGUGAAAUGUUGGGUUAAGUCCCGCAACGAGCGCAACCCUUAUCCUUUGUUGCCAGCGAUUAGGUCGGGAACUCAAAGGAGACUGCCAGUG